UACAGAGGGUGCGAGCGUUAAUCGGAUUUACUGGGCGUAAAGGGCGCGUAGGCGGUUGUAUGAGUGUGAUGUGAAAGCCCCGGGCUCAACCUGGGAAGUGCAUCGCAAACGAUACGACUAGAGUAUAUGAGAGGGUGGCGGAAUUUCCGGUGUAGCGGUGAAAUGCGUAGAGAUCGGAAGGAACGUCAAUGGCGAAGGCAGCCACCUGGCAUAAUACUGACGCUGAGGCGCGAAAGCGUGGGGAGCGAACAGG
rnacentral:rRNA from 2 species